rnacentral:tRNA from 1 species
GGGCGAGUAGCUCAGUUGGUUAGAGCGCCUGCCUUACACGCAGGAUGUCGGGGGUUCGAGUCCCUCCUCGCCCAUCA